GAACAGGUUUGACAGAUUAUUCAAAUCUCAUAUAGAAUCGUAAUAGCGUUAAGGAUUGUUCAUUUACAUAUUAAGUAACCUUAUAUUAGUUGUUACUGCACAACUAUUAUCAUCAACUACUAUAACAAUCACUACCACAGUUAUGAUCACCACCAGCUACACUGACACUGUGACACAAUUACAAUAAAGACUUAUUCGGACCGAUAUUUAUACCAAAUUAAUAGAUACAUGACGGACUAGCUAUUUCCAACCUCACAGUACAAACCACCGCUAGAUGGGGAGGGGGGAGGGGUUCCAAUCACGUAGCCAUCAGUACCAGCCAUUUGAAGAACAUAUUCUCAUGGCCACAAACAAGGUGAGGAUUAGACACACAAUAGGUACUAGGAACUUCUCUUUUGAAAGGUUUGUUCUUCAUUAUAUUGUAAAUGGUGGAGUUUAGUCGGAAAAAUGGUAUAAAAUCGUGUUUUGAAAUUUUUUUUUUAUGCCUAUUCUUGAAGGGAAGCAAAGCCCCCCUUAUCUUUGUUGUACUCUUCUUCUUCUUCUUCUUCUCUCUAUAUAUAUAUAAAGAAGAUCCCCACUAUCACAAAGCGAGAAAAAAAAUUAGCAUCACUGUCCAUUGAUUACCACCACCUGUUGGGUUUUUGCCGUAUAGAAUCCACUACUAGAUAAAAUACUACCACACUUCUUAUGAUAGCUACCUCCGCACUUAACUAGCAUGUCUGUAUUGGUCAUCUUAUGAAGUCAAUAAAGUUGACUUCGUCUCAUCAUCAUUACAUUUGAUACAAGCAACGAGAAAAAGGCCUCUCCACGACGGAAAAACUUCCCCGACCCAAUCAUGAUAAGUCAUGACAAGCACAAAAAGUUUUUCGACUAUAAAGGCAAGACAAAAGAGCUGAAGAAAGGGGCUUCCUCCAUCCGCUUCUUCCCCAACACACCAAUAACCCGAAAAAGGGCGGCAGAACUCUGAGAACUGGAUCCUUGACCUACGGGAAAUGGGAGAAACUCCAUUUUUCAUCAUCUAAGAAGGGGGCAAUAACGAUUGUAAUUUCCAGACCCUCUCUAAGGAGAGCCAGAGAAAAUUUCUAUCAUCAAUAAAACUUUCUGAUAUUUUAUCUGCUCAAUAUGUUACUGUAGCUACUCUGUUUCUCGAUCAAGUAUUAAUUAUGAUUGACUAUGAU
rnacentral:lncRNA from 1 species